CCUACGGGAGGCAGCAGUCGGGAAUAUUGCGCAAUGGAGGAAACUCUGACGCAGUGACGCCGCGUAUAGGAAGAAGGUUUUCGGAUUGUAAACUAUUGUCGUUAGGGAAGAUAAAAGACAGUACCUAAGGAGGAAGCCCCGGCUAACUAUGUGCCAGCAGCCGCGGUAAUACAUAGGGGGCGAGCGUUAUCCGGAAUUAUUGGG
rnacentral:rRNA from 1 species